rnacentral:misc_RNA from 1 species
GGAUCACCGUCACCGUUGCAAGUCCUUUCGCUUCUCAUACCACCUACGGAUCUUUGACCACGACCUUCGGACGACCUUCUAAAACACGGUAAUACCUGCCCAGGCAAGCAGACAUUCAUUUACAGAGAGCAAUCGUCCACGCAGCUUGCGUGAAGAAGAAAACCAAAAAAAAACAACAAGAACAACACAGAAUAACACCGGAGCGAGACGGGUACAGGAGUAAAGGGGUAUCAACAAGGUUUACGAGAAUACGAGAUCAUUCGCCG